ACAGCCAGGAUGUUGGCUUAGAAGCAGCCAUCAUUUAAAGAGUGCGUAAUAGCUCACUGGUCGAGUGGUGAUGCACCGAAGAUGAUCGGGACUCAAGCAUAUAACCGAAGCCUCGGUACAGCACCUAUUACUAAUUUUAAUCAGUUACAACAAGGAGACAUCAUGUACUACGUAUAUUUAUUACAGGAAAUUGGAAGGGGAAGACAUUACAUAGGUUAUACCAAUAAUCUAGAACGACGCUUAAUAGAACAUAAUCUUGAGCACAAUGGUUUUACUGGCAAAGGCCAGUGGACAUUAGUAUAUUUUGAAGCAUAUCUAUCAAAAGAAGAUGCCCAAGAGCGAGAGAAGAAGUUAAAGCAAGAUGGCCGUUCGAGACGCUAUGUAAUGGAGCGCAGCAAGCGUUCCCAAUAUAAAUUGAAAGAAACAAUAACGAGUUGAAAUUAGUAAUAGGUGCUGUAGGUAGGAGAGCAUUCCAUACAGCAUAGAAGGUAAGUUGAGAGAUGAGCUGGAGCGUAUGGAAGAGACCAUGCCGGCAUGAGUAGUGAUAAUGCAGGUGCGAAACCUGCACACCGUAAGCCUAAGGUUUCCUGAGUAAAGAUAAUCUUCUCAGGGUUAGUCUGUCCCUAAGGCGAGUCAAGCGAGCUUGAGUAGUUGAUGGGAAUCAGGUUAAUAUUCCUGAACCUGCUAUAAUUAGUGAUGGAGUGACGCAGUGGUGCUCCGGAGACGGGUGUUGGACGUCCCGUUGAACACGUGUAGGUUAGGUCAUUGGCAAAUCCGUGAUCUUUUAUCCGAGGCGUGGGACGAGAGCUUUAAGCUCUAAAGUCCGGUUAUACACACUGCCGAGAAAUAGCUUCUAAGCGUUUGAAGUUAUAGCAGUCAGUACCGCAAACCGACACAGGUAGGCGAGGAGAGUAUCCUCAGGUGUUCGAGAGAAUUCUGGUUAAGGAACUCGGCAAAAUGACCCCGUAACUUCGGGAGAAGGGGUGCUUCGUUAUCGUGAUAGCCAAACGGCUUUAGCGAGAAGGAGCCGCAGUGAAGAGGCCCAAGCGACUGUUUAUCAAAAACACAGGUCUAUGCGAAGACGCAAGUCACGGUAUAUAGACUGACACCUGCCCGGUGCCGGAAGGUUAAG
rnacentral:ncRNA from 1 species